rnacentral:lncRNA from 1 species
GAAAGCAGCAGUGAGUCGCACACUUCGAGCCCAGGGUCCUGAACCUGCUGCCCGGGGGGAGCGGAGGGGCUGCUCCCGCGCCUGUGAGCACCAUGCUCCCCUCCCCUCCCACCUCAUCUCCGAGAUAAAAGACGUGCUCUCCUUGGCCGUGGGGCCACGGGACCCUGACGAGGGAGUCUCCCCAGAGCAUCUGGAACAGCUCCUAGGCCAGCUGGGCCAGACGCUGCGGUGCCGCCAGUUCCUGUGCCCACCUGCUGAGCAGCAUCUGGCAAAGUGCUCUGUGGAGUUAGCUUCCCUCCUCGUUGCAGAUCAAAUUCCUAUCCUAGGGCCCCCGGCACAGUACAGGCUGGAGAGAGGGCAGGCUCGAAGGCUUCUGCACAUGCUGCUUUCCUUGUGGAAGGAAGACUUUCAGGGGCCGGUUCCGCUGCAGCUGCUGCUGAGCCCAAGAAAUGUGGGGCUUCUGGCAGACACAAGGCCAAGGGAGGUUGGGACUUGCUGCUAUUCUUGCUCCGGGAGCUGGUGGAGAAGGGUCUGAUGGGACGGAUGGAGAUAGAGGCCUGCCUGGGCAGCCUCCACCAGGCCCUGUGGCCAGGGGACUUUGCUGAAGAAUUAGCAACACUGUCUAAUCUGUUUCUAGCCGAGCCCCACCUGCCAGAACCCCAGCUAAGAGCUUGUGAGUUGGUGCAGCCAAACCGGGGCACUGUGCUGGCCCAGAGCUAGGGCUGAGAAGUGGCCCUGCCUUGGGCAUCGCACCAGAACCCUGGACCCCCGCCUCACGAGGAGGCCCAAGUGCCCAAUGCAGACCCUCACUGGUUGGGGUGUAGCUGGGUCUACAGUCAGACUUCCUGCUCUAAGGGUGUUGCUGCCUGGCAUCCCACCACGCGAAUCCUAGAGGAAGGAGAGUUGGCCUGAUUCGGGAUUAUGGCAGAAAAGCCCAGAGAUGCCAGUCCUGGAGUAGAAGAGGUGGUGUUUGUUUAUCUCUUGGAUGCUAAAUGAAAUGAGGUGUGUGGGCUUGUCAACACAGAAUUCAAGCCUCAUUUGCUAUCCCAGCAUCUCUUAAAACUUUGUAGUCUUGGAAUUCAUGACAGAGGCAAAUGACUUCUGCUUAACUUAUGAAGAAAGUUAAAACAUGAAUCUUGGGAGUCUACAUUUUCUUAUCACCAGGAGCUGGACUGCCAUCUCCUUAUAAAUGCCUAACACAGGCCGGGUCUGGUGGCUCAUGCCUGUAAUCCCAGCACUUUGAGAGGCCCGAGGUCGGCGGACUGCCUGAGGUCAGGAAUUCAAGACCAGCCUGGCCAACAUGGCAAAACCCCGUCUCUACUAAAAAUAAAAUUAUUAGCUGGGCAUGGUGGUGUGUGCCUGUAAUCCCAGCUACUCAGGAGGAUGAGGCAGGAGACCUGCUUGAACCUGGAGGUGGAGGUUGCAGUGAGCCGAGGUCGCACGACUGCACUCCAGUCUGGGUAACAGAGCGAGACUUUCUAGAAAAAGCCUAACAAACAGAUAAGGUAGGACUCAACCAACUGAAACCUGACUUUCCCCCUGUACCUUCAGCCCCUGUGCAGGUAGUAACCUCUUGAGACCUCUCCCUGACCAGGGACCAAGCACAGGGCAUUUAGAGCUUUUUAAAAUAAACUGGUUUUCUUUACCAAGGGCUUGAUGUCUAAUCAUUGUCACCUGUCUUCUCCCUUUAGAAGGCUGCAGUCUCGGGUGGGCUGUAGGUGGAGUGCUGUAAUUGUGGCUUUGCUCUGUGCAUUACAAGGUGAGCUACCUUGGCUCUUAGAAAU